AACGAACGCUGGCGGCGCGUCUUAAGCAUACAAGUCGAACGGCAAGAGAGGAGCUUGCUUCUCUCCUAGAGUGGCGGACUGGUGAGGAACACGUGGGUAAUCUACCCUUAAGAUGGGGAUAGCUGCUAGAAAUAGCAGGUAAUACCGAAUACACUCGGCAUAUCACAAGAGGUGUUGAGGAAAGGAAGCUACGGCUUCGCUUGAGGAUGAGCUUGCGUCCCAUUAGCUAGUUGGUGAGGUAAAGGCCCACCAAGGCGACGAUGGGUAUCCGGCCUGAGAGGGUGAACGGACACAUUGGGACUGAGAUACGGCCCAAACUCCUACGGGAGGCAGCAGCUAAGAAUAUUCCGCAAUGGACGGAAGUCUGACGGAGCGACGCCGCGUGGAUGAAGAAGGCUGAAAAGUUGUAAAAUCCUUUUGUUGAUGAAGAAUAAGGGUGAGAGGGAAUGCUCAUCUGAUGACGGUAAUCGACGAAUAAGCCCCGGCUAAGUACGUG
rnacentral:rRNA from 1 species